rnacentral:lncRNA from 1 species
GGGUCUAAGAGAGCUGCUCCAAAGAUUGAUGAAGAUUUCCUGCCAGGAGUGACAGGAAAAUUCUCAAUUCACUUCCUACGUGAAUGCAUUACGCGGUAACCGUAACCGUGGGCUGGUUUCCCAGAGAGAACCGGUGUCCUAGAUCUCUCUGGACCCCGGGAAACUCUCCUCAGACCGGGUUUCCUGGCUGUGGGCCUGGGAGAGGCAGCAGUGAGCAGCGCGGCGUCUGGAACUGCAGCACGGGGACACCGGAACCUCCCAGGUCAGAGGAGCUGCCAGACGGGAGCAGAACGUGUGUGUUUUCCUCAUCUGCUCUUAAGGACGGCGCCCUCACAACUGUGUUUGGGAUAUCUUGUGGUUGUCCGGAAAUUUCAGGUCCUGUGAACUGGGGUUUAUCGUGGCUUUUUCAUUCUUUCUAAAAUCUGGCAGAGUAGUUGCAUUAUCUGCGUUUGCUAUUGUGUCAAUUACAAAGCUCCAGGAAUGUAAGUUCCGUGCUUUCUAACUCAGUUCUUUUACUAACUGCUUAUUGAGAACGCCUUCGGCCCUGUUUAAUAGGUAUCCGCAUUGAGAGCUUUGUAUGUUACACGUAUUCGAAGAAACAGUGCAGAUAUUAUUAAAGUGGAAAAUGCACUUUAUCGAGCACAACCGUUAUUGCUGUAAACGUUAUCAUUUAGAGAUAGACUUUUUAGUGCCCAUGGAUUUUUCACCUGAGUUGUAUUCAGUUUAGGAUGUAAGUACAGCAUUCAGAAACCUGUCUUUGUAUGUUGAGGUCUAGGCAAACACAGUAUCUCCAUGUGAGUGUAUCAGACCAAACUAUUUGUAGAAUUAGAAAACCCACAGUAGAUUAAAGUUUUAGAAAGCAUAUUUCAAAUAAUCACUCACUGUAUCACAAAUUGGCUCCUUGGUUGAAGAAAAGCGCAUGUGGCCAAACAGUUGUUUUUAAUUUCAGGGGCUGUUAACAUACAGUGCUGUGAUCAUGGACUUCUCGUAGGAGGAGUUGGGAAUGCCUGGACCCUGCUGACAGGGCUUUUUGCAGAGAUCUCCCUUUGGACAAGUGCAGCAGUCUGGUUUCUGUGGGUGACAAUAGUUUUCUUGCAGUCUCCCCAGCUCCUCCACGGGGUUCCUGGUAGAAUGACUCUGCUUGUGUCUGAGCUCUGUGUGAGUGAGUCUCACAUCUUACAGAGUACAUUCAAAUCCUUACAGGAAAGGAGACAUUUUUAGUUGUGACAUUUUCUCUCUCUCUCUCUCAUGUUUAUCUGUUUGGAGGCGUCAUAUAUUUUUGUUGCAUGGAAAUUUCUGGGUGCUUUCUGAAGACUCUUUGCCAUAUGCAGGUGUCCCACUCCUCAGGCAGGCCUGCUCACCUGUGAGUCUGAACCAAGAGCCCUGGGUGGUGAAGAGAAGAAGGUGUAGCAAAGGAUCCAGGCAUGUUAGAGAGAAUGAGGAAGCCUUGGGCGUGGGCAGGCUCAACUGACAGUGGAAAGAGGACAUGGAAUUGGUUUCGACAGAUCCUAUUUCAUUUCAAUUGUUUUUAGAUAAUUGCACUGAGACUAAUAUCAUAAUAUUCCCUUUGUAUGUAGUAGAAUACUCUCUAUGUGAGAAUUAAUACCCAGAGCCAAAGAUAAUUUAAUUUGCUUUUGUAUGUGAGGGAUGCUGUCCCAUUCACAUCACUGGCCAUAUCUUCUUACCAAUGUUAAAUGUUUUCCUCGUUAUCAUUUUAAUAUAUUGUUUAGUCAAAACACAAGAUGCUUCUUAGUUUUUUUUCUGCUCUUAGAGUUUUGGAGCGUUUUGUAGUUCCUUUAAGUUUUCUUACGAUUAAUUUCUCCAUUUCCUAAAAUAAUGCCAGCAGGAUUUUAAUAAGAUUUGUUUAAUGUCUCUGCUAGUAUUAAACUCUGACUAUAUUACCUUCCCUUUGAUCUCUGCUGUCGUCUGUCUUCCUGUCAGCUCUCAAUGUUUUGCACUGCUGUAGUUUUAAUAUAUUUUUAAAUCACCCUUCAGUUUGAUCCUUCUGUCAUAAUUUUUAAAAUUCUUUUUGGUUUCUCAUUUUAUGAAUUUUCAGAGGAAUUUCUCUGUAUUUCAAAAUGUCAGUAUGAUUUUGGUAUUUCAAAUAUUAAAAACAUUCUUUUAUAUUUCUUCAC